GCUGGGCGUGGUGGCGGGCACCUGUAGUCCCAGCUACUCGGGAAGCUGAGGCAGGAGAAUCACUUGAACCCAGGAGGCCGAGGUUGCAGUGAGCCGAGAUCACGCCACUGCACUCCAGCCUGGGCGACAGAGUGAGACUCUGUCUCAA
rnacentral:sRNA from 1 species